UCUCCGUAGGUGAACCUGCGGAGGGAUCAUUACACAAUAACAAGGCGGGCUGGACACCCCCAGCCGGGCACUGCUUCACGGCGUGCGCGGCUGGGCCGGCCCUGCUGAAUUAUUCACCCGUGUCUUUUGCGUACUUCUUGUUUCCUGGGUGGGCUCGCCCGCCAUCAGGACCAACCACAAACCUUUUGCAAUAGCAAUCAGCGUCAGUAACAACGUAAUUAAUUACAACUUUCAACAACGGAUCUCUUGGUUCUGGCAUCGAUGAAGAACGCAGCGAAAUGCGAUACGUAGUGUGAAUUGCAGAAUUCAGUGAAUCAUCGAAUCUUUGAACGCACAUUGCGCCCUUUGGUAUUCCAAAGGGCAUGCCUGUUCGAGCGUCAUUUGUACCCUCAAGCUUUGCUUGGUGUUGGGCGUCUUUUGUCUCCAGUUCGCUGGAGACUCGCCUUAAAGUCAUUGGCAGCCGGCCUACUGGUUUCGGAGCGCAGCACAAGUCGCGCUCUUUGCCAGCCAAGGUCAGCGUCCAGCAAGCCUUUUUUUUCAACCUUUGACCUCGGAUCAGGUAGGGAUACCCGCUGAACUUAAGCAUAU
rnacentral:rRNA from 1 species